CGAUUUGCUCACAUGGUUGUGUUUUCACGAAAACCAUUGCUAUGUGAUGUUUGUAUUUAGUUUGAUGAAGCUAUUGAUAUGCGUAUGGUUGAUUUCUGGGCAUGUUGAUUCUUGUUGAUUCUGCAUAUUAUUGAUGAAGGCAUGCUGCUGUUUUGAAACCCUCAUACUGUUUCCAGAAAUCCAGCUCAUAUGUUUUGGUUGCUGUGUGUUACAUGUUGUAUAAGCAUCAGGAGUGUAUUAUCAUGUGGUGUCCAUGUUGUUGUUUGAUUUUUAUUUGUUAAUGAACAUGAGGAUAGUGCCCUGCUGUUUGAAACCCCAUGAAUAUCCCAGGAAAUCCAUGUGAGACAUGGUGUGUGCUGUUGUUUGGGUUGCAGUAUGAACCUUACCAAUGCCAUGAUUAGUUGUAUGUUGUUGAAAUUUCGAUUGAUGAUGAUGUUGGUGAACCAAAUUUCAAACCAUUGCUGCUAAAACCUUGCUGCUG
rnacentral:lncRNA from 1 species